ACAUUGUGCAGCAUUCUGUAGGGCUGUGCUCUCUCUCAUCCCCAGGAAGGACAGACACAGUGGAGGUCCUGGCAGCAGUGCAUUGUCUCAGGCUCACAUUUAUUUAAUAGCGUGGAAAAUCUGCAGAGUUUGGAAGAGUGAGAUCGAUAUUUAAGGCUUCUCAGCUUCCCAGGAGAAGAAUCCUGGGCAAGGGGAUUUUUCCAGAAAAUAUGAUGGUGAGAGUCAUCUCUUCCCAGUCCUGCUCCUCCAGAUCACAGUCAAGUCUGAGAAUGGAUUACAAAUGCACACAGAUGCUCCAACCCAUGAAGUAUUUGGAUUAAUCAUAUUUUUGCAACACAAAGCAACUUUAAAAAGCCUGUUGUUAACUUCCUUCAGCAGACAUGUUACCAAACCACCUUAGUGAAACAUAAUUGCUAGUGGGUAGGUCCUACAUAAUGACAUAUGUGGUUUUGGAUAAGAACAGAAGUCCACACAGCCUGGCAUUCUGUGACUGACAAUAGCCAAAACAAAUAUCCUGGGCAUAUGGGAGAGGGGUGAGCACAUAAUGAUUUUUUCAGGAUAUUUUCCACCUUCCUGAUAUUUUAAAUUCAGAGGUAUCCUGGAAGAAAUGUGAUACUUGCAUAUUUAAGAGAAUGAAGGAGGUAAAUCAGCACCUGUGCCAGUCCUCCACUGCCUCCAUGCCCCACUUAAAA